UGCUAUACUACACCAUGCGCCAAAGAUACGUGGAUGUUCCUCAAUCAUCUCAAUACCGCUAUCACGCGUGGUCAUGUGUUAUUAAACAUUCGUACCAUGUUAUUGGGAUUACUUAACACUGUGUUCUUUUGAAAAUUGCACAGUUUUCCUUUACUUGAUGUAAAAGGGUGGGAAGAACAGACAUACGCAAGCGCAGAACGAUGAAGAAUAUUGCGAUUGAACGGCAUAAAACAGUCAAAUUAGGGAACACACGAUAUUGUUCAGUUUCAAUCAGAUGAAAUCGAUGACGACGGAAAUAUCGGGGAAAAAACAUAUUAACAGAAACUGAGAGACAACCACACGAAAAAUAUGGCGGACGACUAUUCGAGAAAUAAAGUAUAAUAGAAGGCAGACAAAAUACAAAAAAAAAGGCAACCGUGAAAAAAAGGAAGAAGGAAUUCAUAUCAAAAUUCAUGAAUGAUCAUCUUCCAAACGCCAAAGAUAUGUCAAAAUACGAAUGGACACCGAUACCGGAUUGAAUGACGAUCCAUAUGACACCGGCGGAGGAGAAAAUAACGACUCGAAUAUAAUUGAAAUAUCCGAAUUUUACGACGACGACGGCAACGGUGAUUGCAAAAAAAGCAUUGACGGAAGAGAUACGACGUCGACGACGAUAUUAGUAUAAAGAUAACUAUAACUACGGGGACAACAACGACGAUGAUGCAAAUCGUAUUGCUCGAGGUGAAGUACCGACAAUUCGACCAAGUGUAAAGGGUGAAGAUACCACAACUAGAGUUGUAGCAUUCGCACUGAAGUUCCAAUUAUGUUUCUCAGUACUGUUCAAGUUCGUAAUGAACAGAAAAAUUUACCAAAUAUGAGAUAAAGUUUGUGAAAUUGAUUAGGGACACGGGAAGAAAUUUUCCAAAUGAAAAACGAUCGACAGUCAAAUGAACAAGGAACAGUACCGACGAUCGGAAGUGUUUGCAGAAAGUCAGGUCUAGAUAAACCUUUAAAGAAUAGUUUAUAUUUUAUAAAUCUAACUCGACAAUUGAAUAGCAUAUCAAGAGACUCGGUAGAGUCUCGGGACAAGUACAUUGACAGCCCUGUCGUCUGCUGGCCCGAGCUCGCCGAGACUAUCUUUUCUCUGAAUAAAACGAUUCGCGGUGGUGGGGGU